ACGAACGCUGGCGGCGUGCUUAACACAUGCAAGUCGAACGGAAAGGCCCUGCUUUUGUGGGGUGCUCGAGUGGCGAACGGGUAAGUAACACGUGAGUAACCUGCCCUUGACUUUGGGAUAACUUCAGGAAACUGGGGCUAAUACCGGAUAGGAGCUCCUGCUGCAUGGUGGGGGUUGGAAAGUUUCGGCGGUUGGGGAUGGACUCGCGGCUUAUCAGCUUGUUGGUGGGGUAGUGGCUUACCAAGGCUUUGACGGGUAGCCGGCCUGAGAGGGUGACCGGCCACAUUGGGACUGAGAUACGGCCCAGACUCCUACGGGAGGCAGCAGUGGGGAAUAUUGCACAAUGGGCGGAAGCCUGAUGCAGCAACGCCGCGUGCGGGAUGACGGCCUUCGGGUUGUAAACCGCUUUCGCCUGUGACGAAGCGUGAGUGACGGUAAUGGGUAAAGAAGCACCGGCUAACUACGUG
rnacentral:rRNA from 1 species